AGUAGAAUUCAGCAGUCAAGCCAUUGGGUCCCAGGCUUUUCUUUACUGGGAACAUUUUUAUUUCAGCUUCAAUUUCUUCACUUGUUAGUCUGUUCAGGCUUUGGAUUUCUUCCUGGUUCAAUCUCGGUCAGUCAAAACUGAAGAUCAGCUUUUGAUCAUGAGGAGAUUAGGUCACAGAUGUUCAAUAAGGAAAGACCAUGUGAAGACACAAGAAGAUGGUCAUCUGCAAGCCAAGAGAAAUGUCUCAAAAGGAACUGGCCCUGCUGACAUCUUGACCUUGAAUUUCCAGCCUCAGGUUCUUGGAUGCUUGAUGGAAUUAAGGAUUUGAGAACAUGAGAACAAACAGGAAUAUGCAGGAAAUCUUGAGGACACAGGAGAUGAAGUCAACCUGUGGCCAAGGGAGAGGGAGGGACAUGAGAAGCUUUGUGAAAGAUGUCAGCGCAAACCUCAGGCAAGUGCCACCCAACCUAGAGCUGUGGAUUGAAGUUUGGCGUUGGGGUGUCAGCCUGUGAUUUCCUGAUCUCCAACUCCACUCCUCUUAAGUCACCCAGCCUAAGGCACUGAACCUCAUCAUCAGAACCUCAGAGUCCAACAUCUUGACCAUAGCCUUGCAACCCCACUGUUAGGUGAGUUUCAAGUUCUCACUCCCCAUAAACUUCUUCAGACCACUGCUCCCUCGAAUGACUUUGUUUCCUCCCAGGUCAUCAGUUUCCUUAGUCAAUUUCCAAGUCCUAUCAGUUGUAGACACUACGAUUGGUCAUCCCAUCUGAGUGACUAUUUCACUUAAACUUGCCUUUCCUCCUCUGUUUGCAAUAACUCUCAUACAUAGCUCUAGCUUAACAUCCACGUUGCCUUCUCUAUUCUUACCUCCAGGACAGCAGAACACUAAACAUUAAGUUCUUCAAUGCUAAAAAACAUCCUGUAAUCACGAAAAUCAGCCCAGUACAAAUUCAUGCUCACUACACGUGGUUCUCAGCUGCUGUGGGGCCUCUCUCUUCCCUUCAGUAUCCACAGACUUGCAACGUUCUUCUCAGCCUUCCUUCGCACCACUAAAUUAUCUCAUUAAGUCAG